rfam:Chryseobacterium sp. MOF25P AB670_contig000124, whole genome shotgun sequence.
UCAGGAGAAGCCGAAAACCUGAUCAAAGAGUAGGCA